rnacentral:rRNA from 1 species
GACGAACGCUGGCGGCGUGCUUAACACAUGCAAGUCGAACGGAAAGGCACUGCUUUUGUGGGGUGCUCGAGUGGCGAACGGGUGCGUAACACGUGAGUAACCUGCCCUUGACUUUGGGAUAACUUCAGGAAACUGGGGCUAAUCUCGGAUAGGAGCUCCUGCUGCAUGGUGGGGGUUGGAAAGUUUCGGCGGUUGGGGAUGGACUGGCGGCUUAUCAGCUUGUUGGUGGGGUAGUGGCUUACCAAGGCUUUGACGGGUAGCCGGCCUGAGAGGGUGACCGGCCACAUUGGGACUGAGAUACGGCCCAGACUCCUACGGGAGGCAGCAGGGGGGAAUAUUGCACAAUGGGCGGAAGCCUGAUGCAGCAACGCCGCGUGCGGGAUGACGGCCUUCGGGUUGUAAACCGCUUUCGCCUGUGACGAAGCGUGAGUGACGGUAAUGGGUGAAGAAGCACCGGCUAACUACGUG